rnacentral:rRNA from 1 species
UACGGGGGGAGCAAGCGUUGUUCGGAUUUACUGGGCGUAAAGGGCGCGUAGGCGGCCAGUGCAAGUCAGUUGUGAAAUCUCCGAGCUUAACUCGGAAAGGUCAACUGAUACUGCUCGGCUAGAGUGCGGAAGGGGCAACUGGAAUUCCUGGUGUAGCGGUGAAAUGCGCAGAUAUCAGGAGGAACACCGGUGGCGAAGGCGGAUCUCUGGGCCUUACCUGACGCUGAGGCGCGAAAGCUAGGGGAGCGAACAGG